GAUGAACGCUGGCGGCGUGCCUAAUACAUGCAAGUCGAGCGGACAGACGAGGAGCUUGCUCCUCUGACGUUAGCGGCGGACGGGUGAGUAACACGUGGAUAACCUACCUAUAAGACUGGGAUAACUUCGGGAAACCGGAGCUAAUACCGGAGAAUAUAUUGAACCACAGGGUUCAAUAGAGAAAGACGGCUUUGCUGUAUCUUAUCGCUGCUUCCGCGCCGGAUUAGCUAGUUGGUAAGGUAACGGCCUACCAAGGCAACGAUGCGUAGCCGACCUGAGAGGGUGAUCGGCCACACUGGAACUGAGACGCGGUCCAGACUCCUACGGGAGGCAGCAGUCGGGAAUCUUCCGCAAUGGGCGAAAGCCUGACGGAGCAACGCCGCGUGAGUGAUGAAGGUCUUCGGAUCGUAAAGCUCUGUUAUUGGGGAAGAACAGAUGUGUAAUUAACUAUGCACGUCUUGACGGUACCUAAUCAGAAAGCAACGGCUAACUACGUG
rnacentral:rRNA from 1 species